UUUCAUAAAUUAGUACCCACCGCAGUUGAUUAAAUUUCAUUUUCCUUUUGCCAAACCCAAAACCUCCCGGUGCACACAGAGCGAAAAACAGAAAGAAAGGAAAACCGUAUGAGUUUUAUUGCUCUCCCCACCCCUGAAGAAGAAGAAGAAGAAGAAGAAGAAGAAGAAGAAUAUAUAAAAACAUUAUUAUUAAUUUAUUUAUUAACCUUCUACUGAAGACCGAAAUCCAAACUCGAAAAACUACUGAACCAGAACCGGUUACUCAUUCUUUUUUUAAACAGAUGCAACCGACAUCUGGCCAUAGCAGUAGUAGCGUCGGCGGCGGCGGCGGAGGUGGUGGAGUGAGUCGAGGUGGACUCACUCGGUUCAGGUCGGCUCCGGCGACCUGGUUGGAGGCGUUGCUGGAGGACGAAGAAGAGGACCAGUUAUUAAAGCCUACUCAGUGUUUGACACAACUCCUCACUGAACACUCUUCGCCGCCGGCCACCGCAACAGGAUCCGUUCCCUUUGGUUCUUCCGAAGAUCCGUGCUCCUUCGCCGAUGAAGCUUCCGGGUUUCUACGGCAGAACAGCUCUCCCGCAGAUUUUCUCGGGAGUUCUGGUCAUGUUUCCGAUGGAUUCUUCUCGAAUUUCGCGAUGCCGGCAAGUUUCGACAUGUCGUCGUCGACUAACGUGAAUGUCGUCUCUCCAACUGGCAGUGGAAAGCGGGCGAUAGAGGUCGAAACUGCACGGAACUUCUCAGGGAGCAUGUCGUCUUCUCCCAUUAAACUGGAGCAAGGUGGACAUGUUUCUGGUUUGCUAGAUAUGGAGAUGGAAAAGUUCUUGGAGGACUCAGUUCCUUUACGGGUUAGGGCUAAGCGUGGUUGCGCUACUCAUCCACGGAGCAUUGCUGAAAGGGUUCGGAGGACUCGAAUCAGUGACCGUAUCCGAAAACUUCAGGAGCUUGUGCCGAAUAUGGAUAAGCAAACAAAUACUGCUGAUAUGUUAGAAGAAGCAGUGGAGUAUGUAAAAUGCCUCCAAAAGCAAAUUCAGGAACUCUCUGAACAUCAAUUGAGAUGCAAAUGCAAAAACAAAGAAUAACCAGCAGAAGAUAUUGUCCAUAGUCUUGACAAUCUAUUGAGUACAACUUUAUCUGUCGGUAUUCUGUAGUUCUUAUUCGCGUCAAUUGCAAAUUGUUAUUGAUCGAUGAGAUUCAUCGAGCAAUUGAGACGAUUAUUUAUGUCUGGAAAUCUUUUGUUAUCUUGCAUGUGCGUCAUCGCAUUCACGAUGAGCCAUAAAGGGAAGAUCAUUUGUUUCCAACCAUAUAAUGAAGGAAUAUUGAAACAAAUAUAACUCCACGACAUCAUUUAACUCAUAGAAAUAACACUAAUUAGUUGUUUUUAAUUUUUUAACUGGAAAUACAAUUAAAUAGGUAUGAUAGUUAUAUGUAUUUUCGUUUAACUUUUUGUUUUCGAGUAAGCAUUAGAAAGUCAUUUUUAUUCAAGCAAAUACCUACUGUAAGUAUAUUAUUUUUCAAAAUGUGAACUGUUUUGUAAAGGGAUAUUAGUUAUCAUAAUAUGUUUGAAGAUUUUA